rnacentral:rRNA from 1 species
UACAGAGGUCUCAAGCGUUGUUCGGACUCAUUGGGCGUAAAGGGUGCGUAGGCGGCGCGGUAAGUCGGAUGUGAAAUCUCGGAGCUUAACUCCGAAACUGCAUUCGAUACUGCCGUGCUUGAGGACUGGAGAGGAGACUGGAAUUUACGGUGUAGCGGUGAAAUGCGUAGAUAUCGUAAGGAAGACCAGUGGCGAAGGCGGGUCUCUGGACAGUUCCUGACGCUGAGGCACGAAGGCCAGGGGAGCAAACGGG